rnacentral:rRNA from 1 species
AACGAACGCUGGCGGCAUGCCUAACACAUGCAAGUCGAACGAGACCUUCGGGUCUAGUGGCGCACGGGUGCGUAACGCGUUGGAACCUGCCCUUAGGUUCGGAAUAACUCCCCGAAAGGGGUGCUAAUACCGGUUAAUGUCUUCGGACCAAAGAUUUAUCGCCUUUGGUGGGGCCCGCGUUUGAUUAGCUAGUUGGUAGGGUAAAAGCCUACCAAGGCGACGAUCCAUAGCUGGUCUGAGAGGAUGAUCAGCCACACUGGGACUGAGACACGGCCCAGACUACUACGGGAGGCAGCAGUGGGGAAUAUUGGAAAAUGGGCGAAAGCAUGAUCCAGCAAUGACGCGUGAGUGAUGAAGGCCUUAGGGUUGUAAAGCUCUUUUACCCGGGAUGAUAAUGACAGUACCGGGAGAAUAAGCUCCGGCUAACUCCGUG